rnacentral:piRNA from 1 species
UCACUGUAACUGACAAACUCUUACGAGCAGG